rnacentral:rRNA from 1 species
GUGGGGAAUAUUGGACAAUGGGGGGAACCCUGAUCCAGCCAUGCCGCGUGUGUGAAGAAGGCCUUUUGGUUGUAAAGCACUUUAAGCGAGGAGGAGGCUACCGAGAUUAAUACUCUUGGAUAGUGGACGUUACUCGCAGAAUAAGCACCGGCUAACUCUGUGCCAGCAGCCGCGGUAAUACAGAGGGUGCGAGCGUUAAUCGGAUUUACUGGGCGUAAAGCGUGCGUAGGCGGCUUUUUAAGUCGGAUGUGAAAUCCCUGAGCUUAACUUAGGAAUUGCAUUCGAUACUGGGAAGCUAGAGUAUGGGAGAGGAUGGUAGAAUUCCAGGUGUAGCGGUGAAAUGCGUAGAGAUCUGGAGGAAUACCGAUGGCGAAGGCAGCCAUCUGGCCUAAUACUGACGCUGAGGUACGAAAGCAUGGGGAGCAAACAGGAUUAGAAACCCCUGUAGUCC